UGUGUGUGUUGCUUUGACACGCAACACUGUCCAAAGACAUAAUUAUAGGUUUUCUUAUGAUCUGUGAGCACUAGAAAUGGUUUUCAGCAGAAUAGCUGGAGGCAAUAAACAGAAACACCACAAAAACAGGGAUUUGGCUGUGAUAAGAAAAUAUCUUUUGGAAAACAAAUAUAACAGAACUGUAUGUGUGUGAGCACAUGCUCCCAGCAGUGCUGCUCUCUGGUGGUCGGAGGUAUUGCAGGAUGUGGGAGAGCGCUCAAACCAGCUGUCAUCAUAAGUCAUCUGCUUAAUGUACUACACCCAAGCCAAGCCUAGUGAACAAGCUACCAAAAACCCGCUCAGUCAAAUUUACUGCCAUCUGCUUCCCUGUCCCGCUCUCAUAUGCUCGCCUUUGUCAUCUCAAGGCGUUCCAAACUCAGGGUUGAUCCAGCAACGGACAGGACAGGACUAAAACUUGAGGAUGAGUGUACCUCCCCUAGGCACGUGAAAUCCACUGGUAAAUUCCACUUGACAAGGUCAGGGCCGCUUGGAGACCUCAGGCUCUGCCGUCACGCUGCCCCCUGCAGUAUGGAGGGAGAACUGACCGAGAAUCUGAUUGACUGCUUGAGAUGUUGACAGCAUGUCUUGACCAGUUCAAGCAAAGAGCGAGUAUAAAUUUCUCACACAAAGCUAUCAUGACAUCAGAAGACUAUAUAUACACACAAUAAGUUUCAUAGACCACAUGUUUUUUGGUGGUUUUUAGAGUUUGACAUUCCCUAUCCUCAUUCACUUCUAUUGUAUUGAAAAGAGCAGCUUGGACAUUCGGCUAAACAUCUCCUUUUAUGAUUUAAAAAAAUAAAGUAAGUAAAAUGAGUUUAAAGCAAAUAAAUGAUGACAGAAUGGUGAACUACCUCUUAACUAUCAGUAUAACUACUGACCGCAGGUUUAUAUAACAUGUAGCUAGAGUUACGUGCAGUGGGGAAACUCAACAUCUCCCAGUGCAGAAACAGAAUUGUGCUGGACGCACUUCAUAAAAGUUAAAUCAAAACAUAAAUUAUCCUGACAGACAGACGCAAAUGAGCAUGACUUCCCAAUAUAAUGGAAAGAAAGCAGGGGGAAAGCAUAAGAGAGGUCUUCCACAUAAAAUAAUGAUCUGAUAGAGCUCAUCUUCAGGGAACAGUCUAUAAAUUGCACUGUCAGUGGUUAAGCUUCCUAUUUGGAAAAGUUUGGGUUGGAUCAGGACCAAAAGCCACAUUUGUCGAACACCCCCAUCCAAAUGAAGAAAAAAAAAAAAGGUCACUUAGAUGCAGCGAUACUGAUGAAAAGCAAAAAAUUCAAAUCAUUCCUUGUAAAUAGAGAGGAAACAUUAAUCGUGCCAUACCUUGAGCCAAUUUAAGCCAGCGUGGCCGGAGUCACGCAUUAGGUCAUGAGAGCGCUUUGCACAGGCAGUGAGCAAUGGAGAAGAAAUAGAGAAAAAGAGGGAUUACAGGGAAAAAAAAGCCGGAGAGGACACACAGACAUAACAGAACAACAGUUUGAAACAAACCACGCAAAAGGAAAAUUGGAAACUUGAGGAAGAGGGCCUAGAGAAAGAGAAAGCACAGUAACCAUGGAUCCAACGUGACAACAGGUUGGGAGCGGAAAAGAGAUCCAUACAGGAUUGGGUCAGGCCGACAUGGAAAAGGGGGAAAGUUUGUGGUGAAUGAGUAAGGGCAGUUUCGAGACAUCCCAUCAACCCCGGUCAACACGAGCGGAGAGAUUGAGGCUUUCUUUGGUCCACUGCCUCCAGGGAAGGUUAUGAAGUAUGUCAUUUCGCUGCUGAAUCAUGUCUGGAGACUGGACGUGUGUUUUCAUGUGGUCUUGGGCAAACGUUUUCACUGGCCCUGCAUGAGCGGCUGGUCGCUUUCGUACAUCCCAGCCGUAAAUUCCACGCCAGAGCUGACUGAGUGACUGGUGUCACUGUACACCGAGGGCUCUGUGUAGGAAGAAAAUGCCCCCCUCUUUCUCUCGGCGACCACAUUUGCUCUUACUAGCACACGACUCUUUAAAGCAGUUGCUGCAGCGAGGGUUUGGCAAGAUGCUAAUGCUCAUGAAAGCGUCAGCUAAAAUGAGACAGGCUCAGCCGCUAAACAAGCACAUUGAACAGACUGAGAAAACAUUGUUUUGACACUCCAUCAAAUAUCAAUUCUGCAAUGAAGAUGGCGUGAGAUGGAGAGAAAAGGUAAAAUAGGGGAAGGCUUGACAAAAUUGCGUUUAUUUGUUAUUUAUUCUUCAUUGCUGCAGCUCUCAGAUCAAAUAUGCCUCAAGUUUUUGGCAUACUAUAUAACAAGACAUGCGAGAACCCACACUGAUUCACGUAUAUGAUGUCAAAUCUGGUGCAAGUGUGCCAUUUUAGUGAUACGGAAGAGUUAACGACUUAAUUUAAAGUCUGUUUGCCACAAAAAGCUAUCAUGAGGCUUUAAAAGCCUUGGAGCAUUGCAUAGUUCUAUGGACCAUAACCAUUGCAGCAACAAUGUACAAUAAUUCGUUACCAUUAAAGAAUUAGAUUUCAUCAAUGAACACAGAACAACUAUAUUCUACAGCAUUUAUUAAUCUAGUUUAUAAGUAGUUUAUAAGGCAC
rnacentral:lncRNA from 1 species